rnacentral:sRNA from 1 species
GCCGGGUUUGGUGGCGCACACCUGUAAUCCCAGCAGCACAGGAUGCUGAGGCAGGAAUCUCUAGUUCAAAGCCAGCCUCAGCAACAGCAAGGUGCUUAACAACUCAGUGAGACCCUGUCUCUA